rnacentral:sRNA from 1 species
UCUUCACCGACGGGGACGACCCUGAGCUCGAGCUCCAGGGCGGUGGCCGUGUCAUCAACACCAACUGCUCGGCGGUGCGCACCCGUCAGGCCCUCUGCUGCAAGAUGUCCGUGGAGUACGACAAGUUCAUUGAGUCCGGGCGCAAGUGGUUCUGCCACGUGGAUGACGACAAUUAUGUGAACCCCAGGAGCCUCCUGCAUCUGCUCUCCAGCUUCUCACCCAGCCAGGACGUCUACCUGGGGCGGCCCAGCCUGGACCACCCCAUCGAGGCCACCGAGAGGGUCCAGGGUGGCAGAACUGUGACUACGGUGAAGUUCUGGUUUGCUACUGGUGGGGCCGGUUUCUGCCUCAGCAGAGGCCUUGCUCUCAAGAUGAGCCCAUGGGCCAGGUGAGUGGGGGUCCAGCUGCCUGGGCUGGGAGGCGGAGGCUGAGACCUGAAAGGUGCUGACCGGCCUCCCCCCAGCCUGGGCAGCUUCAUGAGCACAGCUGAGCAGGUGCGGCUGCCGGAUGACUGCACAGUGGGCUACAUCGUGGAGGGACUCCUGGGCGCCCGCCUGCUGCACAGCGCCCUCUUCCACUCUCACCUGGAGAACCUGCAGAGGCUGCCGCCGGACACCCUGCUCCAGCAGGUUACCUUGAGCUAUGGGGGUCCUGAGAACCCACAUAACGUAGUGAACGUGGCUGGAGGCUUCAGCCUGCAUCAGGACCCCACACGGUUUAAGUCUAUCCACUGCCUUCUCUACCCAGACACGGACUGGUGUCCCAGGCAGAAGCAGGGCGCCCCGACCUCUCGGUGACACCAACCACCCCUGACCCAGGGCUGCCUGGCUCUGUCCCAGGCGCGGGGAGCCAGAGCCCCCUAUGGCCUCGGUGGGCUCCCUCAGAUGCCAUGGCUACACCAGUGAGAUGCAGGCACCUGGCAGACCCUCUGGCUAACCUGCAGCCCCCCCCUCCCAGCCCCUGGUGGGCUGCGGUGAUGGGUGUUUUGGGAGAACGAAGACAGCUAGGCUGAUGGCCAGGGCCGCAGUGCCCCUCCCCCCGACCCAGCCGCAGAGUUGAUCCCAUGGGAACAGGCUUC